rnacentral:ncRNA from 12 species
GAGUCAUGAGGUGGACAACAGCUUCCACGCACCCUUUGGGUUAAAAGAGAUGCGAGAACAGCUGGCCUCGCCAUGACUC